GGUGCUGCGGCGACUGCGCCUGAGCGAGGAGCAGAUCUAUGGCGGCGACUGGCGGCCACCAAACCAGUGAGGGGACACCUGGGACAGACCUGGAGACCUCAAACACACACGUAUUUUGCAAAGCAAACACAGACACCAGCAGAGAGCUCAGCUCAUUGCUGCCAGGCUGCAUUUUGGGUCACCUUCCAAGGAAGCUUCAGCCACCCUGCCAUGCCCUGAAGUCCAGAAGCUGAAAACUGAUCUAAUAACUUCCUAAAAAUGCUGUGCCAGAUGAGAAAGAACUAACAAAUGACCUAGUGUUUAUUUUAUCCUGGGUGCUGGAGAAGUAUACACACCAUAGGUACACAGGCCUGGCUUGGAAGCUGUUAGCCAGCCACCAGAUGGGUUUUAAAGGAGCUUAAAAAACCAUUUAUCUAGCAAACAAUUUCAAAACCUCAACUUAUUUCUUACAGAAAGAGGCCUAUCAGCACAGGAAACUUGAUUCAGGCCUUUGCAUGGCUCUAGUAGGCAUCCAAGUGACACCAUGAGAUCAAAGAUGUGGCUCAGGAAGGAAAGAAACUUAUGUCUCCUUUUGCAUGUUAGUCAUGCUUGGAUUACCAACAGAUUUUAUUCUGUAAUGGACAGGAAGUUGAAUUUGGGUAUAAAAAAAAUAUUCAAAAGGAGCUGGGUGUGCCCUCCCUAUGGUCCUGAUGAAGAAAGAGACUUCAUCACAUGCUUAAUUAUAAGCACUUGAGCAGUUCUACUAACUUCACUGAAUCUGGAUGCAGAUGUUAAUCAUUUCUGAAGCUCAUAUUCAAUGCUCCUCUGAUUAUUAAACUACAAAAUAUGUGAAUUUCAAUAAAUCAGAGCACUUCCAUCAGAA